rnacentral:rRNA from 1 species
ACGACUCUCGGCAACGGAUAUCUCGGCUCUCGCAUCGAUGAAGAACGUAGCGAAAUGCGAUACCUGGUGUGAAUUGCAGAAUCCCGCGAACCAUCGAGUCUUUGUACGCAAGUUGCGCCCGAGGCCACUCGGCCGAGGGCACGCCUGCCUGGGCGUCACGC